GACGAACGCUGGCGGCGUGCUUAACACAUGCAAGUCGAACGGAAAGGCCCUGCUUUUGUGGGGUGCUCGAGUGGCGAAAGGGUGAGUAACACGUGAGUAACCUGCCCUUGACUUUGGGAUAACUUCAGGAAACUGGGGCUAAUACCGGAUAGGAGCUCCUGCUGCAUGGUGGGGGUUGGAAAGUUUCGGCGGUUGGGGAUGGACUCGCGGCUUAUCAGCUUGUUGGUGGGGUAGUGGCUUACCAAGGCUUUGACGGGUAGCCGGCCUGAGAGGGUGACCGGCCACAUUGGGCCUGAGGUACCGCCCAGACUCCUACGGGAGGCAGCAGUGGGGAAUAUUGCACAAUGGGCGGAAGCCUGAUGCAGCAACGCCGCGUGCGGGAUGACGGCCUUCGGGUUGUAAACCGCUUUCGCCUGUGACGAAGCGUGAGUGACGGUAAUGGGUAAAGAAGCACCGGCUAACUACGUG
rnacentral:rRNA from 1 species